rnacentral:misc_RNA from 1 species
AAGUAAUUAUACCCAUCAUCAGGAAACCCUAGUUCCAAUAUCUCCUUUCUUACAUUAUCAGGUAACAUCACAGCUUGAUUUCCGGUACCCGAAUACCCGGCUGCCCAUCCAUUGUACACCUCUUCAUCUUCUGGAGCAUCCGCGUAAAUCGAAUUCGGGUCAUCUGGGUUAAAUUGAUCGGAGGAGUGAAAGGCGUCGACUGAGUAGGAUGUAUUGUUGUCAACUCUGACGAACACUCUGUCGGCGCCGGAGGAGCCGGAUUCGUAAGCUGGAUCCGAUGAAUCACAGGCGAAUAACUGAAAAGUAGCUGAUUUCUUCUUGUCGAUGAACUUCUUCUUCCCCAUUGUUAUCCAAA